rnacentral:lncRNA from 1 species
UAGUUUUACUGCAUGCAACGCAUCUAAUUUCCCAAAAAAUUAUCACACUACAACAAAAAUGGUCUAUAGCGCCACUUUUAAAUGUUGGUAUAGGUUAAAAAAAGUGCUGCUGGCUAAAUUACCGACACUUUUAAAAUGUGUUGCUAUAUGUGGGGCCGCUAGGUAUAUAGUGACAGUUAAAGAGUGUCGUUAUAACCUAAAAAGAGUGCUAUU